rnacentral:lncRNA from 1 species
CAUGUGUUUACUUGGAUUAGGUAAUUGUACCAAUCUACAUUUUAAAGGUAAAACUAGCCAUUCAUUCUUUUGUUUCAGCAGUUGCCUAAUUUUAUUGUUUAAGUAUAAUGUGAGUGAAGGGAACUUCCUAGUUAGAAAUCUAUGAAUAUUAACUUCUUGUCUUCACUAACCAGAGUUGUUCUCAACUCAUAACACGUGGUUUGGUAAACCAUUUGCAAUGUAAACACAGCAGAUUUUACUUGUAGUUUCAUAAUUUAGGCAGGUUGGCUCUGUAUUAUUUCUAGAAUCACAGGUAUCUGGAUGAAGAAUCACCAUUUUAUCAUUAGAGAUUACAACAAAUGUAGUUUACUCUUUUUACCGGUAAUAUCAAUGUAAGCAAAAAUUAUACUUAUUAGCUAAGCAUGUUAUCUUCCCAGACUGGAGGAGUUAUUAUCUUCCAUAUUUUCUCUAUCUUCCACUAUACAAAGGGAAAAUAGAUUGGAAUUGUACUGGCCAUUGCUUUGUAAAGAGAAUAUAAAUAGCAAUAAAACAUAAAGAAAA